rnacentral:rRNA from 1 species
UACAGAGGGGGCAAGCGUUAUUCGGAAUUAUUGGGCGUAAAGGGCGCGUAGGCGGCUUGGCAAGUGGAAGGUGAAAUCCCUCGGCUUAACCGAGGAACUGCCCUCCAAACUGCUUGGCUUGAGACCGGGAGAGGUGAGUGGAAUUCCCAGUGUAGCGGUGAAAUGCGUAGAUAUCAGGAGGAACACCGGCGGCGAAGGCGGGUCUCUGGGCCAUAACUGACGCUGAGGAGCGAAAGCGUGGGGAGCGAACAGG